UACGAAGGGGGCUAGCGUUGCUCGGAAUUACUGGGCGUAAGGCGCACGUAGGCGGCUUUCUAAGUCGGGGGUGAAAUCCUGGAGCUCAACUCCAGAACUGCCUUCGAUACUGGAGAGCUUGAGUCCGGGAGAGGUGAGUGGAACUGCGAGUGUAGAGGUGAAAUUCGUAGAUAUUCGCAAGAACACCAGUGGCAAAGGCGGCUCACUGGCCCAUUACUGACGCUGAGGCACGAAAGCGUGGGGAGCAAACAGG
rnacentral:rRNA from 1 species